AAGAUUUGGUGAGUGCAAAACAACCUCAUGCAUCCAGCUAGAGAUGGUGACAUUUUCAAAGAACGGAAGGGGAACAUGAGCCAUCCUCUCUUCUCAGGAGCACUGCGCCAAGCCCACUACCAGGAAGAGAAGAGGGCAGCCCUGGGGGAGGCUCUCUGGCUGGAUUUCUGGACGUGUGCAUUGAGCAUCUACCACACGAGGGCGCUGUCCCCGGAACGCUCACCGCAGAGGGCCACUAGACAGAGUUCCUUGCACUUGCGAAGCAUCUAUUUUCCGAAGCACAAGGAGUCAGCGAAUCUUCUGUGAAGAGGUGGGUUAUUUCAGCUUGGAGAACCUCUCAGACCCAGCCCAAUGACAGCAGCACCCAGCAUCGCCCAUCAGAGGGUGAGUGGCUCCUGGCAGCAAGGGAAGACGACAGUCGUGGAGUGGCAGAGCCACACGUGGAGGUGGAGUAGCUGCUUCUAUUAGGAAAUCCUCCAGAGGGAGCAGGAACGGACGCCCUUUGAUUCCUUCUCCUGACACAACCUUAAGAAAACCUACACUGUGACGUGGUUCACAUCCAAAAAGCAGGCAACGCAAAGGCAUUCCCAACAUGUGCUUAAUAAGGCCCACACUGGUCAGUUUAAACUCAAAGGCAGCAGUCUUCCGGAGGUGACCCGGCAGGUCUUCAUGAUGGUUACUCACUGUCACCCCCACCUCCUCACCCACACUGCUGAGAUGUGUGGUGCCUGCCUGAGCCCUCUGAUGAUGUCUUUUGGGGGGCCCCCCUGAUGUCCCCUUGCAAAUCCUUCUCCUGGGUUCCAACACAUUCUACCACCUGCGUAGGUUACACAGCCUCUUGCAGUCAUUUUUCCAGUGGCCACCUGCACUUGGGAAAGAGCUACGCUGUUAACUCGUACUAGAAUGACGGCAAAUCAGCAGAGACAAGUCACCAGUCAGCUGCAGGAAAGAGCCAGAACACUGACUCGGUGCUGGGUGGGGCGCGGGACGCUGAGCUGAGCUCUGACGUUGCUCUAAACUUUUGCACUGCGGCCUUGGGACUGCGUCCUCAUAUGUGAUGCUAGGGACAGCCUGGGCUUUUCUGGUUUGGAGACAUUCUGCUCCUGUCCAGAGAAGUUUCCGCAAGACCCUGUCUGGGGUGGACUUGGGGUCACAGUGACCACAAGGCUGGAUUUAGUUCUGUCUCUGAUAUCCGCAGUAGUACCGCCACUCUUUUCAGGGACAUUAGCCCACCACAGCUGCUGACCUGGACUGUGGCUGGAGGACUCCACUGCCCAGCCCUCUGCGCUUCUAAGGGCACUCAGGAAGUCUGUUUUUCAAAUCACAAGGAAGCCAGAAAUGCCAUCGAGGUCCUAGAAGACCUGGCAGGCUAGGUUCUUAGGAUCUCCUCCUCGCUGAUUGCUGAUCACCGGUGUCGCUGCAGACAAGUCCUUCAAGCUCUCUGGCUUUUCAUCAGUGACAUGGGCGCUCUGAACAAGGGCAAGGGUAUCGAAAUUUUGUUUUGCAGCACCUGGGGCACCUUGCCAGACCCUGG
rnacentral:lncRNA from 1 species